rnacentral:rRNA from 1 species
CCCUUAGAUGUUCUGGGCCGCACGCGCGCUACACUGACGAAUGCAACGAGCUUAUAACCUUGGCCGAAAGGUCUGGGUAAUCUCCAAAUUUCGUCGUGAUGGGGAUAGAUUAUUGCAAUUAUUAAUCUUCAACGAGGAAUGCCUAGAAAGCGCAAGUCAUCAGCUUGCGUUGAUUACGUCCCUGCCCUUUGUACACACCGCCCGUCGCUCCUACCGAUUGAAUGGUCCGGUGAAGCGUUCGGACCGUGGCCUUUGGACGGUUCGCCGUCUGUUGGCUGCGGGAAGUUCGUUAAACCUUAUCAUUUAGAGGAAGGAGAAGUCGUAACA